UUUCCGAGGCAACUCGGAUCGGGAGGACUUGCUGGCACUAGCUGGCUUUCCUUGCAUUUCCAAGUCUAUGUUUUUUCAUAUACCCCAUUGAAUGUAACAGAAUGUAACAUAUUGGGCCUUGUGCCUAUAAAAACUUAUACAACUUUCAGCAACGGAUCUCUUGGCUCUCGCAUCGAUGAAGAACGCAGCGAAAUGCGAUAAGUAAUGUGAAUUGCAGAAUUCAGUGAAUCAUCGAAUCUUUGAACGCACCUUGCGCUCCUUGGUAUUCCGAGGAGCAUGCCUGUUUGAGUGUCAUUAAAUUCUCAACUAUUAUCAGCUUUUGCUGAUGAUGGCUUGGAUAUGGGGGUUUAUUUUGCUGGCUUCACAGAAUGUCAGCUCCCCUUAAAUGCAUUAGCCGGUGCCCCGCGUGGACUGUCUAUUGGUGUGAUAAUUAUCUACGCCGUGGACAUCUACAAUCAUAUGGGUUUGCGCUGCUUCCAACCGUCUGUUUACUCAGACAAUACAUGACAAUUUGACCUCAAAUCAGGUAGGACUACCCGCUGAACUUAAGCAUAUCAAUAAGCGGAGGAAAAGAAACUAACAAGGAUUCCCCUAGUAACUGCGAGUGAAGCGGGAAAAGCUCAAAUUUAAAAUCUGGCGGUCUCCGGCCGUCCGAGUUGUAAUCUAGAGAAGUGUUAUCCGCGCUGGACCGUGUACAAGUCUCCUGGAAUGGAGCGUCAUAGAGGGUGAGAAUCCCGUCUUUGACACGGACUGCCAGGGCUUUGUGAUGCGCUCUCAAAGAGUCGAGUUGUUUGGGAAUGCAGCUCAAAACGGGUGGAAAAGGCC
rnacentral:rRNA from 1 species